AUACGGAGGACGCGAGCGUUAUCCGGAUUCAUUGGGUUUAAAGGGUGCGCAGGCGGCCGUGCAAGUCAGCGGUGAAAGCCCGGGGCUCAACCCCGGAAGUGCCGUUGAUACUGCAUGGCUGGGAUGCGGUCGAGGCGGGCGGGACGGGGCGGGUAGCGGUGGAAUGCGUAGAUAUGCCACAGAACGCCGAUGGCGGAGGCAGCUCGCCAGGCCUGCAUUGACGCUCGGGCACGAAAGCGUGGGGAUCGAACAGGAUUAGAUACCCUGGUAGUCCACGCCGUAAACGAUGGGCGCUCGUCGUCGGCGGCAGACAGUCGGCGGCCAAGCGAAAGCGAUAAGCGCCCCACCUGGGGAGUACGGUCGCAAGGCUGAAACUCAAAUGAAUUGGCGGGG
rnacentral:rRNA from 1 species